UACGUAGGGGGCAAGCGUUGUCCGGAUUUAUUGGGCGUAAAGAGCGUGUAGGCGGCUAGACAGGUCCGUUGUGAAAACUCGAGGCUCAACCUCGAGACGCCGAUGGAAACCGUCUGGCUAGAGUCCGGAAGAGGAGAGUGGAAUUCCUGGUGUAGCGGUGAAAUGCGCAGAUAUCAGGAAGAACACCCGUGGCUAAGGCGGCUCUCUAGUACGGUACUGACGCUGAGACGCGAAAGCGUGGGGAGCGAACAGG
rnacentral:rRNA from 1 species